GUUAACCAAACCGUAUCCGAAGAAUACGUUUUCGCUGACCAGAAACGUAUGCAUAUCUUUGGUCGUGUCCGUCAAGCACUCCUACUUGAUAACCUCUUCGCCUACAUAUAUCCAACCAAACAGAUCGAACGCCACACCCCAAAUCCAAUCCCCCGAUCAGCAGCAGAUCCACCGGCGGCAAGGGCGGCGUACCAUCGAUCGAUCCUCGGAGCUCGAAGCCGCGCCGCGGCGGAGGCGGGCGUCUCCCUUCCCGUCGCGUUAAUCGCCGUUCGAUCAGGCGGAGUCUCGCAGAGUCUGGCGGACUCGAUCGAGGAGCUGGGGAUUAAUUCCUCGGAGUUAGCUGCUAAUCCCCCAUCGCUUCAUCGCGGCACGAAUGAGAUGACUCAACCCGAUGAUCAUCACAUGGAGAUGGAGCAACUGGGGCACUCAGGGUCACUCGCGGCGCAAUUGUAUAGGCUGAAUUUUCUGGUGCACAACCAUUUUCAAAGGAGGAAGCUUGUGGUUCACAACCAUCUUCGCGUAUCACUGUUCUGGCACACAACAAUCUGAUGCGGAUGAUCAGAGGUUGUUGAUUUUGAGAAUCGAAAGGAUACUGAGAAAUGUAAGAAAGGAAGGAGAUGGCACCACGAUCAGAGAUGUGGAACCAUUUCAUCAAGAUUACGGAUGAAAAUAAUGCAAAUAUAUUGCGAUUUUGAUAUGAAGGCUGACACGAAGGACCAUGGUACGUUAUCCUUGAUCAGACACUUCAAUGUGUGCAAGCGCAACCCUCACAAGUUCAACAAAUAUCCAAAGCAGGGCACUUUGCAAGCAACUCAAGGGGAAGGCGUCCGGACUUGAGGUAUGAUCUUGACGCGCUUAGGGAAGCUUUUGCAGAGAUGAUCAUAGAAGGUGAGUUAGUGUUUGCUUAUUUUUAGAAGACGUGCUUUAGAAAUUUGAUGUCCAAAGCCUGCCCACGUUUCAAACCGCCAUCUAGAAGAACCUGUACCAGAGACACUGUGUGACUGUUCUUCCAAGAGAAGGCUAAGCUCAAGAACUUCUUCAAUGAUUCUUGUCAGCGAGUUUUCCUAACAACAUAUUGUUCGUCUUCUCGGUAACGAUAUGGAUAUAUGACUGUGACAACAAGUUUUAUUGAUGAAUCUUGGAGCCUACAGAAGAAAAUCAUUGGUUUUUUUAUUGGUGGAGGGGCACAAAGGGGGAUGAUAUAGGAAAAAACUUGGUGAGAUGCUUACCUGGUUGGGGUUUCGAGAGAUUAGUGACUGUAGUUGUUGAUAAUGACGGUGGUAUUGUUUAUUUGAGGAGGCAGCUGAGCAAAACACACAUCACUAACUGCAAGUUUUUGCACAUGAGGUCUCUUGCACACGUUGUUAACCUUAUUGUGCAACAUGGCAUAAAAGAAGUGGGCAUCUCUAUGAA